rnacentral:rRNA from 2 species
UUUGACCUCAAAUCAGGUAGGACUACCCGCUGAACUUAAGCAUAUCAAUAAGCGGAGGAAAAGAAACUAACAAGGAUUCCCCUAGUAACUGCGAGUGAAGCGGGAAAAGCUCAAAUUUGAAAUCUGGCAGUCUUUUUUUUCUUCUUUGGCUGUCCGAGUUGUAAUCUAGAGAAGUGCUUACCUGCACUGGACC